GGAGUUUGCUUACUUGAUUGCAGCUGACAAAGCAGAAAGAGCUCUUUCUCCCUCUCUUCAAGCUGUGUGUGAACUUCAGUGGAAUUCUGAACAGAUGUCAAUCUGAAUUUGAACCACUGAUCACUGAAUUCUGAGCUCAGCAAUUCAGCUGCUUUUCCAUGCAUCUGGUGCUACUACUCUCCAGUCAAUAUUUUAUCAUCUUGUCAUCAAGGAUGUUGUGGAAGUCUGUCAAAAAGUAAGUAUUUCCACGAGGACCUGUACCAUAAUUUUUGUGGGGACUGCAGUAAAAUUAAUCUCCUGGUAGUUUUCCAGAUCAUACUUCUUGAACUUUUUGCAGAUCCUUCUCUUCAAGAUCUAUGACAAAGUCUUUCCAGAAAAACUACAGUCACCACCAGGUUUAUGAUCAAUUACUGAAGAUGCAGUGGCACUCUUUCUUUGGAAAGAAACAUGCAUACAGAAUUUACUGUAAUCUGUCUUCUUAUCCUCAUCACUGGUAAUCUCCAUUCAUUGUUGAAGAAAAAUGUAAUCAGCUAAAAAUGGAAGCAUCCUUGCCUUACUUUAUCCGAGACAGACCUGCUGAAGGAGAGUGGAAGUCAAGGUGAUUGAUGAAAUAUGAGUAAGGACAGCAGUGCUGCAAUAGCCUUUUCUCUAUUCCUCAGACACAAUUUGUGAAGCCAAGACAUCUUUUUUUUUUUUUCUUCCCCUUUCCAGGAGAAAAUGCACUUUAUUUAGCAGGAUAUGGUCUUCGAUAUACCUCAGGUGUAGAUGAUGCAGCAUCAUUGCAAAAAUCUGAGCAUAGAUUUCUGGAGGCCAAGCAUCAGUUCAAACGAAUGUCUCACUUAAGAAAGCAGAAAUUUUUGAGUCUUCCUAGUUUUACAUGGUCCUUCUAGAAAGGCAGACAGCAGAAAACUUCUCAAAAACUUGUCUUGGUUUGUUUUCUCUUGCUCCGCCCUGCUUUUAGUGUAUAAAGAUGCUAUUUAACCCAUAACUAGUGGUGAUAUUUCUGUUUAUCUAUUCCUGAAACAUAGACAGGGAAGCAAUGCCAAAAAGUAUUUUACAUGUUCCUGCAGUGAGACUGAAAUGUUUUGAACUUGAUGAUUAUAUAAUAAAUUGUAA